AAAAAGGUAAGCUAAUUUAAGCUUCUGGGUUCAUACCCCACUUAUAAAGGUGCACCCCUUUCCUUUUUG
rnacentral:tRNA from 1 species